CUCUACGUCGAUCACAACGGAGCUCAGGUUCAGCGACUGCGCUGGUACACAGAGGUUUCGUUUGCUUUCGGUUUGCAGUGCAUCGAACACAGCGGCUGAUAUCACCACAUGCUACACGGCUCGACAAUCGUCUAGGCAGGACACUACGUUUCCCGGGCAGUGACAUGGAUGCCACAAGACAUGAAAAGAUAUCGGAAAUUAAAAACUAUUCGCAAUCCAAUAGUUGCACAUUUUUGGUCGAUGAAUGAAGAAGCGAAUGAAGUCAUUGCAUUAUUUACUCUAUAUUUUGAUACUAAGAAUGAUUAUAUUUUGAUACUAAAAAUGAUUAUAUUUUGAUACUAGAAUACACAAA